GAUUAACGCUAGCGGAAGGCAUAAUACAUGCAAGUCGAACGGGAUAGAACUUAGUAAUAGGUUCUUGAGAGUGGCGCACGGGUGCGUAACACGUAUGCAACCUACCUUUAACUGGGGGAUAGCCUCUCGAAAGAGAGAUUAAUACCCCAUAACAUAUUGAAUAAGCAUUUAUAUAAUAUUAAAGAUUUAUCGGUUAAAGAUGGGCAUGCGGCUGAUUAGGUAGUUGGUGAGGUAAUGGCUCACCAAGCCAACGAUCAGUAGGGGGUCUGAGAGGAUGUCCCCCCACACUGGUACUGAGACACGGACCAGACUCCUACGGGAGGCAGCAGUAGGGAAUAUUGGACAAUGGGGGCAACCCUGAUCCAGCCAUUCCGCGUGCAGGAAUAAGGCCCUAUGGGUCGUAAACUGCUUUGUAUGGGAAAAAUCGAUCUACGUNUAGGUGUUGAUGGUACCAUGAGAAUAAGGAUCGG
rnacentral:rRNA from 1 species